rnacentral:lncRNA from 1 species
CAUGUACCAUGCGAAAUUGAUUGUACGUGCUACAAUCCACAUUUUAGAAUUGAAGAAAUAUUAACAGUCAAUGAUCUAGGCAGCAUAAACGAUACCUUCUUCUGCAGAAUACACCACCGUGGUGGGACUGAAAGGGCCUUCUCCUUUGUUGUUGAAGACACCUACUUUAACCUCAAAGGGAGAGAAGGGGUGCACGCUCUCAUUCCUGAACACGUAUCUAGAGGCAUCAGCUGAGGCCAGCACUGUCAGCAUCCAGAUCAUUUUACCGUAGGGCCGGAAGGCCACCACAUAACCAAAGCCUCGACCAUUCUGUAAUUCCUCAGGGACCGUCUGGGAAAGAAGGAAGGUGGUCUUCAGAAAUCACAGUAGUUUCACUCAAAUGCAAAAAUCGUUUUUGUUUCCCUUGUAACAUUCUUGUCUACAUCCUUCUCCACCCAUCUUAUUUGGCGUUUUGUUAACAGUCUUUUAAAUUUAGGGCUUGCAGUCAGUCUAUCUUAAACAGUUAUGAUGUACUGGACAGGGUUGAAAACGUAAUGAGGAUCUGCAGUCCAGAGCUUGCUCUUUGAUGGGGCAGACCCAGCUCUGAAAUGGUUGGAAAUGAUUGUAAAAAAAAAAACACUGGACAUCGGUCUCCUGAAAAACCACAUUUCCAACACGUAUCCUCUAAUACUAAUCUUCUUCCAUUGCCAAAUAGACAAAAGAUCUCACUGAAGGAAGAAAAACCAUCUUGGCUGAAGAUCCUCCCUCUCAGAGGGAAGAGUUCAGCUGGAGGGAUGAGUGAUUUCUUUCACUGCUGUGCUUUGGGUAAAUGAGAGAUUUUAAUUUCUGGGGCUGUUUAGAAUCUUUCAAAAACAUGAAGAACCCUUUCUAAAGCUCCCACCUCUUCUCUCAAAGCCAAUUUUUAAUAAAUUGGUGACUAACUUUCCUCCAGGUUGUUUUAAAAAAUACCUCCUAAAAGAGGGCCCCUUCUAGAAGCAAAGCCAAUUGCCAGGAAAUUGUGCUGGUGCACUGAAUCUAUUGCUGGCAGACGUUUUAAAUCAAUUGGCCAUGCAGCAAUUCAGGAAGAAAAGAAAAACUAGUUUUCUCUGAAACAGCCUUCUUUAUUUUUUUUUGUAACGUGUGUUGUCUUCCCUUCAUAAUUGUUUUUACUGUGAUGGAUUGAAUUAAAACUUGCCUCAACAAUGGAUGGGCAAGUGCCGUCCUUCCUGCUAGCCAUUAGCUACGUGAGAGGGAGUGUCUGAACCCAAAUGAAUUUUCACUGUUAAAAACAGAGGAGGAAACUUCCCAGCUAUGUCUAACAUGGAGGAAAAUAAUAAAAUAGCUUCGAUGCGUGUACGUUCCUUUUAUUCUGUGAUUCAUUUACCUCCCAGGUUAUAACCAGUUCAGAUUUGCUGCCUCCGCCACCACUGACAUUCGCUGGUGUGACUUCGGGGACUGCACAAGGAGACAAAAAACAAGUUAUGUCAGGCGGCAAAGGCGAAUGAGGGCCAGGAAGGUUGCCUGGCAGAGGUGACUCACUUUCAGUGAGUACUCUGAGGCACGCCCCUUUGUCUCUGGAGAUCAGCAACAGCAUUGUCAAGGGGCCCACGGCGACCGCUCGAGGAAGUGAAAUGUACCAAGGAGACUGCUAUUAAUUACCUGUUUCCCAUUCAACAAGGCACACGUGUUAUCUGACACGUCUGACCAAUUGUUCAGCUCCAUCCCUAGAGGCCGAGGGGUUCCCGAAGGGAGGAAAGGACUGAAGUCUGGUCCUAAUGUUUGGUUAUGCGUUUAUGAGCCACGUGGAGAUACACAAAGGGAAGAGUACAAGCUCUGCCCAGGCAGAGCUUACAAGCUGGUUGGAGUGGAGGAGCGCCUGCACCAGUUAGAGCAAGGUCGACAACCAGGGUUUGUGCUAUGUUCCUUUGAAUUGCAUGAGGUGAAUACUUAAGGAAGAAGGAAGACUGGACUUCCCUGUAAGAGAGUAUAUAGCAAGAGGAAGAACUGCCUGAUGGUUUAACACCCUGGUUUUGGAGUCAGAAGGACCUGAGUACAAACUUAGCACUCUUACUUUCUACCUGUAUGAUGUAGAGCCUCUAAUUCUGCAGCCAUGAACAUCACUAUGGAAAUCCUUAAUACACUUAUUUCAGAGUAAAAGGGAAAGCUUAUUCAGAGCUGUCCCAGGUGCUGAUUCCAGCCCUCACAGUGUUCUCUCUCCAACUGCCUGAGUUUUUUGUCACCCUCUUCGGUCAUACCAAAUAAAACCUUACAAUUUAGAUAUUACUUUGGAAUUACAAAAAUAUCAUUUUAAACCAUAAAUACCUUCUUCAAAAGUAUGACCUUGCUAUUAAUCACUUUCAGUGAAGAGUGAAUUAAUUCAAUCAGGUUGCUUUCACUUAACAAGUAAGUAAGAGCAGUAUGGAGUCUUCAAAUGUGAGUUUUGAAUAACCAAAGAAGAAUCAAAGGAAAAUUUAAUCUAUGAAAUAGUGGAGAAGGCAAAAUAGCGCUGAGAAAGUUCAAGAAGGAUAAUGACUUAAAAAACUGGAUGAGGAAAGUGGUGUGUGGAGACUGCCAAAGACAAAUUUGCCUAGGGUCAGCAAUCCUCUAUUUAGCAAAAUUGGAGGUUAUUCUCCUCUUUCUCUUCUUGCACCACAUUACUAGAUCA